CAAACCAAAGCUGGCGACCGGCGCACGGGUGAGUAACACGUAUCCAACCUGCCUCAUACUCGGGGAUAGCCUUUCGAAAGAAAGAUUAAUAUCCGAUAGCAUAUAUUUCCCGCAUGGGUUUUAUAUUAAAGAAAUUCGGUAUGAGAUGGGGAUGCGUUCCAUUAGUUUGUUGGGGGGGUAACGGCCCACCUAGUCAACGAUGGAUAGGGGUUCUGAGAGGAAGGUCCCCCACAUUGGAACUGAGACACGGUCCAA
rnacentral:rRNA from 1 species